GCCUUGGUGGUGUAGUGGUCGAAGGCGUCCCCAGUAUGGAUGAAACGCGGGUUCAACUCCCGUCUAAGGUC